rnacentral:lncRNA from 1 species
AUUCUAUAUCUCCCUCUCUAAAUUUUCCUCUAGAUUACUAAGACUUUAUACCCAAAGCAAGCUACCAUAUUUUAUUCAAUUUCACAAGCAGUCAAGUUCCGACAAUUUGCUUUCCAAGUGCAUAUUAUAACACGAUUCAUUACGUAAGGUGAGAUGCUUAGUACUAUUAGUGAUUUUUCUAACAUCUUUUCAAAUACGUUGUUAUGUAUGAAUUUAAUUAUUUCAGUUCAGGGCUCCUUCGAGAGAAAUCAUGAUACAGUUUAAGGCACAAUUUAGCGUUAACGUUAUUUUUUGCAGCGCUUGCUAGAAUUAUCAUUUGUCAUGGUGUGAUAAUUCUCAUAUUAUGUUGGUAAGAGAAUUUAUGCUUAAUUUUGCGUUCGAUUUGAAUGUAGAGUAACUAGCAUCUCAUUGAGUAUAAUUUGUAAUACUCAUCCUUCUUUAUUUAAAAUUUUCAGGUAAAAUUUAGGAUGAUGGUCGACGG